rnacentral:rRNA from 1 species
AUUGAACGCUGGCGGCAGGCCUAACACAUGCAAGUCGAGCGAGCGGCGGACGGGUGAGUAAUGUCUGGGAAACUGCCUGACGGAGGGGGAUAACUACUGGAAACGGUAGCUAAUACCGCAUACCAUCGGAUGUGCCCAGAUGGGAUUAGCUAGUAGGUGGGGUAACGGCUCACAUAGGCGACGAUCACUAGCUGGUCUGAGAGGAUGACCAGCCACACAGGAACUGGGACACGGUCCAGACUCCUACUGGAGGCAGCAGUGGGGAAUAUUGCACAAUGGGCGGAAGGCUGAUGCAGCGAGGCCGCGUGGGGGAUGAAGGCCUUCGGGUUUUAAACUGCUUUCGACAGGGACGCGGUACCUGUAUAGGAAGCACCGGCUAACUACGUGCCAGCAGCCGCGGUAAUUC